rnacentral:tRNA from 1 species
GGUGGCUCAGGGGUAGAGCGCUCGCCUGGCAUGCCUGAGGCCCUGGGUUCGAUUCCCCAGCACCA